rnacentral:rRNA from 1 species
GCGAACCGGGGGAACUGAAACAUCUAAGUACCCCGAGGAAAAGAAAUCAACCGAGAUUCCCCCAGUAGCGGCGAGCGAACGGGGAACAGCCCAGAGCCUGAAUCAGCUUGUGUGUCAGUGGAACGGUCUGGAAAGGCCGGCGAUACAGGGUGACAGCCCCGUACACGAAGGCACACAGGCUGUGAGCUCGAUGAGUAGGGCGGGACACGUGAUAUCCUGUCUGAAGAUGGGGGGACCAUCCUCCAAGGCUAAAUACUCCUGACUGACCGAUAGUGAACCAGUACCGUGAGGGAAAGGCGAAAAGAACCCCGGCGAGGGGAGUGAAACAGAACCUGAAACCGUGUACGUACAAGCAGUGGGAGCCUUCGUAAGAGGGUGACUGCGUACCUUUUGUAUAAUGGGUCAGCGACUUAUAUUCUGUAGCAAGGUUAACCGUAUAGGGGAGCCGAAGGGAAACCGAGUCUUAAUUGGGCGUUAAGUU